AGGGAAAGAAAAUCUAGCCAGAAACCAAGGGAAGACACACUACCAGGGAGCUGGACUCGAGCCUAGUGUUGUCAUGCAUCGUUACCCUACGUUCAGGUUUCUACCUACUUGCACAACUGCAAGCUAAUCCUAUCCAGGAAGAAAGCAAGCAUACAAGCAUACAGGCAUCAAUCAAAAUAAAACAAGCAUUUCAAACAAAUAUUCACAUAGCACACACUAUAACC
rnacentral:lncRNA from 1 species